ACGAACGCUGGCGGCGUGCUUAACACAUGCAAGUCGGACGGAAAGGCCCUGCUUUUGUGGGGUUCUCGAGUGGCGAACGGGUGAGUAACACGUGAGUAACCUGCCCUUGACUUUGGGAUAACUUCAGGAAACCGGGGCUAAUACCGGCUAGGAGCUCCCGCUGCAUGGUGGGGGUUGGAAAGUUUCGGCGGGUGGGGAUGGACUCGCGGCUUAUCAGCUUGUUGGUGGGGUAGUGGCUUACCAAGGCUUUGACGGGUAGCCGGCCUGAGAGGGUGGCCGGCCACAUUGGGACUGAGAUACGGCCCAGACUCCUACGGGAGGCAGCAGUGGGGAAUAUUGCACAAUGGGCGGAAGCCUGAUGCAGCAACGCCGCGUGCGGGAUGACGGCCUUCGGGUUGUAAACCGCUUUCGCCUGUGACGAAGCGUGAGUGACGGUAAUGGGUAAAGAAGCACCGGCUAACUACGUG
rnacentral:rRNA from 1 species